rnacentral:lncRNA from 10 species
AUUCAAUCUCCUUGUGCCUUGAUUUCCUUAUCAAUAAGUGAUUUGUUUUUAAAGAAGGAUUCACAAGCAAACAUAUCUGGUUUUUUUGUUUGUUUGUUUUUGAGACAGAGUCUCGCUCUGUUGUCCAGGCUGGAGUGCAGUGAUGCGAUCUUGACUCACUGCAACCUCCGCCUCCCAGGAGUUCAAGCGAUCCUCCUGCCUCAGUCUUCCGAGUAGCUGGGACUACAGGCAUGUGCCACCACACCCAGCUACUAUUUUUGUAUUUUUUUGUAGAGAUGGUUUCGCCAUGUUGGCCAGGCUGGUCUUGAACCCUUGACCUCAGGUGAUCCACCAGCCUCGGCCUCACAAAGUGCUGGGAUUACAGGUAUGAGCCACCACGCCCAGCCUGCAAACAUAUGUUGAACUCUUUGCACAGUGCCCUGCAUGAGAUAGAUGACAGCUCCUUCUUCCAUGUUGUUAAUUUGGUGUGAGUAUAUGUUAUAUGUAUGUAUAUGCAAGAUAAUAAUCUUCUUGUAACCACUGACAGGCCUUUUUGUGAAUGAUGAUGGAAAAAGCAAGAACCUUGUCCAGGUUCCUCUCCAGGGAGCAGGGGUGGGUUGUGAUUCUUGAUUUCAUUCCUUUAGAUAUGAAGAGUUUUCACACAGAGGCAGCACGAAUUUGUCUCUCUCCUAGAGGGUGGGGAGAGUUGCUGGGUGGAUAUAACUGCAUCACAGCCUUUCUGGGUAAACUGGCCACUCCCUACUGAUUUGUUAUCAUGCUAAAUGUGUCUCCUCCCUUCCUUUCUGGAGCUUUUGCAGCUGUUCCUGGAAGGAGACCCAGUUGAAAGGGGUUGUUAUGGACCAGGAACAGCUGGGAUCUUUAAUGAUCUGUGAGCAGCUUACAGCAAAGUUCCAACACCCUGAGUAUCAGUCCCCAAAUCCUUGGUCUUUGCAUUCCAACACAAAGUAAAAAGGAUUGAGCAGGGUUUUGGUUUUGGUUGCAAGUAACAGAAACCCAACGCUAAUUAAUAAACGGGAAAGUGUGUCAGUGGAAAUCUCCACAAGUCCGACGGAAAGAGAAAACUGCUUUCCCAAAGGGUGUAAGAGGAUGAAAGGCAUGUCAUCAGCUGAAUUGCAUCAGGUGUCCAUCUUGGAAUCAAUCACGGUGCCUCUUAUUAGCAAAGCCUGAGUCAUAGGUGAGUCUAUACUUGGAUGGGGUAGUAAGGAAAUCCCAUGUUGAUUGCAUGGAUGGAAAGUGGGGGUGUUGUGGUUUCAUAAUGGCUUAUUAGGGUUCAAUAAUCAGAACACCAAAUAAUCCAUGCUGGGAGGUAAAAAUUGCAGAUAUUUUACUUUAUGCCCCAAACUAGACUUCAAAUCUGUGCUGCUCUUCCAAUCAUGAAUCCGCAGAACAGAGGAUAGAAAGUUCAGGUCAAUUCAAAUUUGACAAACACUUUCCGAGCACUUACUAUGUGCCAAUAUCCGUGGGAGGCCCUGGGAAACCAAAGAUGAAUGAAACACAAACUCUGAUGUCAGAGACCUCACAGUCUGGUGUUUAAGACGAUAAUAGUCUGGAUUAGAUUCUGGUGUGAUGAGAUGGAUUGUCUCAUAAAAAACAGAGGGAAGGGAUUAUUUAACUCUGAUGGGUGGCUGGGUGCUGAGAAGACCCUCAGAGGGUGUAACCUUUGAGUCUUAAGGAGGAUUAAGUUUAAAGGGGAUUUUGUUGGAGGAUAAGCAUCAAGGAAAGCAUUCCAGGAAGAGAGACGGGCAUAUGCAAAGGUAUAGUGUUGUGACCUCUGAUUAAAUAUGGAUGAGACAGGACAGGGAAAAACACACUUGUUAGAUUGUGGCAAAUGCCCAUGUGAAGUGAUUAAGUGACUGAAAUUGGGCAGAGGUGGUGUGCUGGUAGAUUCUAAGGUGACCCCAGUGAUCCAUGCCUUGUAAAAUCUUCUCCCCUGUGAGUGCUCCUUGGUGAGCAGGUGAUGUUAUAUUGGGAGAUUGACUAUAAGAAGGGGAGACUAUCUGUGUGGUCCUGGCCUAAUGACAUGAAUCCUUUAAGAGCAGAGCUUUCUCCAGCUGGUAGAAAAAGGGGAAGUAUGAGACUUAAAGGUGGAGGUGGCCCCAUGGAAAAGACCUAAGGGUAGCCUGCGGGAACUGAGAGAAAACCCCAACUGGCAGCCAGCAAGAAAACAGGGACCUUAAUCUUACGACCACAAGGAACUGGACUCUGCUACCAGAAUGAGCUGCAAGGGAGAUUCUUCCUCAGAAGCUUCAGAUAAGAACUCCACCUGGCUGACCUUUGAUUUUGGUUUUGUGAGAACUUUGGCAGAUAACCCAGGCAUGUGUCAUUUCACAUCUGCAUAAAAAGACAUGCUGAAGGAUGUUCCUUGCAGAAUGGUUAUAGAGAAAAAUGGGAAUAACCACGAUAUAAAGUAACAGUCUGCUAUUUUAGGAAGUGGAUAAAAUGGCAUUUUGACAGAUCUGGAGGGUCUUGGAUCUACCUUUCAACAUUGGCAUUACUGAUAUUAGAGUACCACCACUCACUAGCUGUGGAGAUGUAGGAAGAUUACUUAACCACUCAGAGCCUUGGUUUCCUCAUUUGUUAUGUGAAGAUGACAAUAUCAGAUGACAGUGAGAUCUGAGAUGAAUUUAACUGCCUUCAGUAGUGCUGGCCUGCUCCUGAGAGAGAGAUGAUUGAGAGGGAGGAAGUAGAGAGGAGGAAGAAGCCUUUACUCACACUCCUUGAGGAGUGAUUCAGGUGGACAGCCUGAAUUACGGGAUUUAUUGGCAGCAAGUAAGUAUUGUCUGAGUGGAUUACUGCAAAAUGCUUUAGCUGGGGAUGGCUUUGAAAACCACUCAUCAAUUACAGAUGGUACCCAGUAUAGCAGCAGGAGUACCCUUGCGGGCUUUUGUUAUCUCCGACCUCUUCCUUCAUGGGUGACCGUUCUAACCCAAAGACCUCAACUGUUCAUCAAAAACCUGCCACUCAGAACUGCAUAUCAAUUAUUAAACAAUGUCCCAUGCAGGACAGUGACUUUAAAUUAUCUUGGAAAUGAUAAAGACCAACAUUUGUCUUUGUUAACAUGCUGAGUGAUUCUGUGGUCUCUAGUCACAGGUGAAAGGAUCAGAUUUGAGAUUUCUAGACACCAGAAUCACAUUAGGGUUAAGCAAAACUCCAUCUUUUCCCAGAGAAAAUUUAGCCAGAAAUGUUGCUUAUUUGAGAUGAGAAGUAAGAUGAAGUGUUCUAACAUGGCGGAGCUUGAUAUGCAAAUGAGCCCAUCUAGGGACAGUAGGGAUUGGUAAUGUGGGUCUGUGGAUGCCUGGAAGGCUCACAGAAAGACUUCAGGAAUUCCUGAGUCUCUUCAAAGUGUAAGCAAAAUUUUGUGUGUAUUUUCUUAUUUGCAUGAUAUGGCUUGGCUGUGUCCCCACCCAAACCUUAUCUCGAAUUGUAACUCCCACAAUUCCCACAUGUCGUGGAAGGAUCCUGGUGGGAUUCAUUAUGGGGGCAGGUCUUUCCAGUGCUGUUCUCAUGAUAGUGAAUGAGUCUCACAAUAUCUGAUGGUUUUAAAAACAGGAGUUUCUUUGCACAAGCUCUCUUUCUACCGCUGCCUCCAUGUAAGAUGUGACUUGCUCCUCCUUGCCUUCCACCAUGAUUGUGAGGCCUCCCCAUCCACGUGGAACUGCGAGGCCAAUUGAACUCCUUUCUUUUGUAAAUUGUCCAGUCUCAGGUAUGUCUUUAUCAGCAGUGUGAAAAUGGGCUAAUACAGUGCAUUUAUUUUUUUGAAGCAUGUCCAUACUUUCCAUUGGAUUCUCAAAGGGAUUCAGGACCUGGAAACUUUUUGAAAUACUGCUCCAUAGUAAAUGGCACAAAUCUCUCUGAAUCAAGGAUGUCUCUAGCCUUAGGCAAAGCUAGGUUGAAGGACAGAACAGAGAGUCAGCCUCUGGAGUGCCCUCUAUAAGGAAAAAGAAAACAUUACUAGAGUAAGUUGAUAAAGUAUAAAUUCAUCUCACUCCUACUGGACACUGCCCUUGAGUGAAAUUAAAAACUGAAAAAUUUUUGACAUAUCUUUUGAGCAUUUUUGUAAAAUACGCAUGUAGCUAUGGCCAAAAUUCUGGAAUAAAAUGGUACAUAUAGCCUUAGGUAUCCUGGCUCUGUUUCUUAAAGGAGUCAUAUUUACAGAAUUGCAGUUGUCCAGGUGCAGUGGCUCACGCCUGUAAUCCAAACAAUUUGGGAGGCCCAAGCAGGUGGAUCACUUGAAGUCAGGAGUUUGAGACCAGCCUGGUCAACAUGGUGAAACCCCAUCUCUAGUAAAAAUACAAAAAAAAAAUUAGCCGGGCAUGGUGGCGGGCACCAGUAAUCCCAGCUACUGGGGAGGCUGAGGCAGGACAAUUGCUUGAACCUGGGAGGCAGAGGUUGGGAGGUUGCAGUGACCCUAGAUAGCACCAUUGCACUCCAGCCUGGAUGACAGAGCGAGAUUCCAUCUCAAAAAAAAAGAAAGAAAGAAAGAAAGAAUUACAGUUGAUUAGCCACAAAUAAUUUCUAAAAUGUUUUUGCUCACAUCUCUCAUAAAAAUAAAAGAAUAUCCAUGUCCUGUCUUAUUUCUUAUAGCUGCCAGUACACCCCCCAGUUUCCUCUUAUAACUGUUUCAUCCAGAAUCCUUCACAUGGUUACCCUUCACUUUCUCUAUUCCAGUCCAGGUUGCUUAUUUUCUUUUCUCUGGCCUUCUCCCUGUUGCUUUGCUCUUCAUCGUGUAGAUUGAUUUAGUUGUUUUGGCUCAGUCCUUCCUUCUGUCUUCUGUUUCU